AAUGCAUGGAUUAGUUUUUCUGCAUCUGUCUGUGAUAGUAUGUGUCUAAUUUUUCUAAUAUUACGUAAAUGAAAGAAGGCAGUCCUAGAGGUCUGCUUUAUGUGGGAGUUAAAUGACAAAUCCUGAUCAAAGAUAACUCCAAGAUUCCUGACAGUGGUGCUAGAGGCCAAGUUAAUGCCAUCUAGAGUGACUAUAUCUUUAGACAAUGAGUCUCUAAGGUUUUUGGGGCCAAGAACAAGAAUUUCGUUUUUUUCUGAGUUUAACAUCAGAAAAUUG